rnacentral:tRNA from 1 species
GGUAAAGUGGCUGAAGUAGGCACCGAGUUGUAGCCUCGGCAAUGAAGGUUUAAUCCUUUCUUUAUCA